UACGUAGGCAGCGAGCGUUUGUUCGGAAUUACUGGGCGUAAAGAGUGUGUAGGCGGUGCUCUAAGUUCGGUGUGAAAUCUCCUGGCUCAACUGGGAGGGUGCGCCGGAAACUGGAGUGCUUGAGCGUGGGAGAGGAAAGCGGAAUUCCUGGUGUAGCGGUGAAAUGCGCAGAUAUCAGGAGGAACACCGGUGGCGAAGGCGGGUCUCUGGGGUCGAUACUGACGUGAGGAGCGAAAGCGUGGGGAGCGAACAGG
rnacentral:rRNA from 1 species